AUACGGAGGUUGCAAGCGUUAUCCGGAUUCACUGGGUUUAAAGGGUGCGUAGGCGGAUCUAUAAGUCAGAGGUGAAAGCCCCGAGCUCAACUCGGGAACUGCCUUUGAUACUGUAGAUCUUGAGUGUAGUUGAGGCUGGCGGAAUGAGCGGUGUAGCGGUGAAAUGCAUAGAUAUCGCUCAGAACACCGAUUGCGAAGGCAGCUAGCUAAACUACUACUGACGCUGAGGCACGAAAGCGUGGGGAGCAAACAGGAUUAGAUACCCUAGUAGUCC
rnacentral:rRNA from 1 species